GGAGGGAGGAACGAGCUUCAGCCGUCGUCUGCGCACUCUGACCCGGGAGGCGAGGAGAAGAAUGGCAGCCUCAGAAGCCCGUCUCCCUAAACUAUCACGACGAGAAAAGUAAUGAAAUAACCGCCAUAUUUCAUCGAUUUUAAUAUGCUACAUCUAUGGAAUGGCUAUAGGACAUAUCAAGAUUUUUUGUUGUUUUAUUUUUCUUUUGUAGCUUAUCUAGCGAUGUUUUGGUUAUUUGGAACUGUUUUACUCAAAUAUUUGACAUCUAAAAUCUUUGGCGUUGCAGAUGAUAAAAUCAGUGACACGAACAGAUAUCUGCACGCCAAUGUUCAUAGCAGCAUUAUUCACA